GCUGAAUAUACCGGUUCUCGUUAGAUCACCGAAGUCAAGCAUCAUUGGGCGCGGUCAGUAAUCCAUGGUUGACCACCUGGGAACAGCCCG